GUUUGAUCAUGGCUCAGGAUGAACGCUGGCGGCGUGCCUAAACAUGCAAGUCGAACGUGAUCCCUGUUUUCGGAUGGGGUGAAAGUGGCGCCGGGUGAGUAACACGUAGCUGACCUGCCCUUUGCUGGGGGAUAACCCCCGAAAGCGGGGCUAAUACCGCGUAAGCGCAUGGGGGUUAGAGUCCUGAUCGGAAAGCUGAGGCGGCAAAGGAGGGGGCUGCGUUCCAUCAGCUAGCUGUAGGGUAACGGCCUACCAGGGCGACGACGGAUAGGGGGCCUGAGAGGGUACCCCCCACACUGGUACUGACACACGGACCAGACUCCUACGGGAGGCAGAGUAAGGAAUAUUGCGCAAUGGGCGAAAGCCUGACGCAGCAACGCCGCGGCAGGAAGAAGGUCUUCGGAUCGUAAACUGCUUUUCUGCGGGACGAGCGGGACGGUACCGCAGGAAUAAGUCUCGGCUAACUACGUGCCAGCAGCCGCGUAAAACGUAGGAGGCAAGCGUUAUCCGGAUUUACUGGGCGUAAAGCGCUGCAGGCGGCUGGGUAAGUCGUGCGUGAAAGCUCCCAGGCUCAACCGGGGAGGUCGUGCGAUACUGCCUGGCUAGAGACAGGUAGAGGCGAGUAGAAUCCGGGUGUAGUGGUGAAAUGCGUAGAUAUCCGGAGGAAUACCAGUGGCGAGGCGGCUCGCUGGGCCUGAUCUGACGCUCAGACGCGAAAGCAUGGGGACGAACGGGAUUAGAAACCCCGGUAGUCCAUGCCGUAAACGAUGCCAACUGGCGUUGGCCCCAUCCAGGGUCAGUGCCGAAGCUAACGCGAUAAGUUGGCGCCUGGGGACUACGACCGCAAGGUUAAAACUCAAAUGAAUUGACGGGG
rnacentral:rRNA from 1 species